rnacentral:pre_miRNA from 1 species
UUUCUACUCCCUCCGUCCAGAAAUAGUUGUCAUCAAAAUAGAUAAAAGAUGUAUCUAGACGUAUUUUAGUUCUAGAUACAUCCAUUUUUAUCCAUUUGGAUGACAAGUAUUUUCAGACGGAGGGAGUACAAA